UCUCCGUAGGUGAACCUGCGGAGGGAUCAUUACAGAGUUCAUGCCCUACCGGGUAGAUCUCCCACCCUAUGUUAUUAUUACUUUGUUGCUUUGGCGGGCCGUUAGGCUCCGGCCCGACUACCGGCCCCGGCUGGUAAGCGCCCGCCAGAGGACCCAAAACCCUGAAUAUUAGUGUCGUCUGAGUACGAUAUAAUAGUUAAAACUUUCAACAACGGAUCUCUUGGUUCUG
rnacentral:misc_RNA from 1 species